rnacentral:rRNA from 1 species
UACGGGGGGGGCAAGCGUUGUUCGGAAUUACUGGGCGUAAAGGGCGCGUAGGCGGUUUGCUAAGUUGAAUGUGAAAACUCUGGGCUUAACCCAGAGCCUGCAUUCAAUACUGGCAGGCUAGAGUUCUGGAGGGGAUAGCGGAAUUCCUGGUGUAGCGGUGAAAUGCGUAGAUAUCAGGAGGAACACCGGUGGCGAAGGCGGGUCUCUGGGCAGUAACUGACGCUGAGGAGCGAAAGCGUGGGGAGCGAACAGG